GCCCCCGUAGCUCAGUGGUAGCCUCGCUAAAGAGCACCCGGCUGUUAACCGGUAGGUCGUGGGUUCAAAUCCCACCGGGGGCG
rnacentral:tRNA from 1 species